AACGCGAAGAACCUUACCUACUCUUGACAUCCAGAGAACUUUCCAGAGAUGGAUUGGUGCCUUCGGGAACUCUGAGACAGGUGCUGCAUGGCUGUCGUCAGCUCGUGUUGUGAAAUGUUGGGUUAAGUCCCGCAACGAGCGCAACCCUUAUCCUUGUUUGCCAGCGAGUAAUGUCGGGAACUCCAGGGAGACUGCCGGUGAUAAACCGGAGGAAGGUGGGGACGACGUCAAGUCAUCAUGGCCCUUACGAGUAGGGCUACACACGUGCUACAAUGGCGCAUACAGAGGGCGGCCAACUUGCGAGAGUGAGCAAAUCCCAAAAAGUGCGUCGUAGUCCGGAUCGGAGUCUGCAACUCGACUCCGUGAAGUCGGAAUCGCUAGUAAUCUUUGAUCCCAAUGCCACGGUGAAUACGUUCCCGGGCCUUGUCCACCCCGUCCUUCACACCAUGGGAGUGGGCUGCAAAAGAAGUAGGUAGUUUAACCUUCGGG
rnacentral:rRNA from 1 species